UUAAGCGCAUAACGAUACAAAAACAAGUGAACAACUAUGAACACACGACUUCGUGUUAAAAUUGGGUCAAAACAAACAGAUAUGCUAUCUGCCUCGUACUGAAAUGUACUAGAGGUAAAACAUUGGCAUUCUCGAAGAACGCGUUCAUUUCCAAAAUGAAGACCAUUAUGUCAGUUUCGGCAUGUUGGUUGUUACUUGUUUUUAUACACAUUGAAGCCGUAAAAGAUGAGGAUUUUCAAUCACUGCUUGUCAGGCUUUCAGUGCUCGAAGAAAAACAAGUUGUUCUUGAAACGGAAAAUAAGUUGUCACAAAAAAGAAUCGCCGACUUAGAAAAAUACAAGUUACUGUCCGACAAAAGAGUCGCAUCGCUUGAACGAAAAAUUGCAUUAUGUCACAGAAGACAAUAUGCGCUUGAUAUUGUAAAGAACAUCGCACUUGAAACCGACAAGCUACUGUCUGACACUACCACCACAACAAAUGGAUACGACAAGACUCUGUCUGACAAGAUGUUCGCCUCCCUUGUUAAUGGCAGAAUACUAUCGGACAGAAAAAUCGCCACGCCCGAGAACGACAAUGAAGUAUCACACAACCGGAGUGGUAAAGAUAACAGUUACUCUGCUGCAGUUGAAAUUGAAGAUCGGUCAGCUGCUGUACUUCAAUCCAAACACAGACGAUUUGUUGCAGAAGGGACUGUAGCAUUUUCUACAAUCAAAUUAGCAAAUCAAGAGCAUAUUGGCAUUAAGCAGAACAUCAUCUUCGAGCAGGUUCUUACAAAUGAAGGAGGCGGGUACCAUCAAAACUACGGUGUCUUCAUUGCUCCACAAUCCGGCAUUUACGUCUUCUCGUCGGUCAUUUUUUGUGUUUCCCAAAUGGGUUGGUUGAAGCUGAAAUAGUUCAUAACGGAAACGCGAUCAAUAACAUUUACUGCCAUGGUGACAGUGGGAGACACGAUCAAGGCAGUCAGACGGCUGUCAUAAAGAUGAAUGCUGGUGAUGAAGUCGGGGUUCGAAAUCAUUUCACUGCAGAUGAUGGUAUCUGGGGUAGUGGGUUUUCGUCAUUCAGUGGCUAUUUAGUAUGGCUGCAAUAAUUCAAGUGUUACCGGCAAAUGAUAUCUACUGUCGGCAUAUUAGUUUACCCAUGCAAAUAAAACUAGUUAUGCAAAUAGAA